GACAAGGUGGCCAAGUGGUUAAGGCACUGGACUACUAAUACAUUGUGCUGUGCACAUGUGGGUUCAAAUCCCACCCUUGUCA